CACUUUAGUAAAUAGCCCAGACACUUUAUUCAUAUGGUGAACAUCAUAAAACCAAAUAUAUAAGAUGUGUUGUGCAAUCAGCAAAACCUUACUUAUUUCUUGUUUUCUCCCACGAACAGAUAGACACAUUGCAAUUUCCAGUUCAGGGAUAGGAAAACCCUUGGGCACCAAGCAUGGCAUUAUAAUGAUACAGAUGCCCCCUCUCCUACUCUCAGGCCCAGAUUUGAAAUAUUUGUGUCUGAUUUCAGCCUACCUGCAGCGUUCUGGUUGGCUGACACUCUGACCAAAUUCCAGGCUGUACAGGGGCUGAAUUGCAAAAUCCAGACGACAUGGUUAAACAGCGCAAACAAUGUCCAGAUUUUGUAGACUAAAUGGUCCCAUACACAGCCGGCAGGUUUGUUCCAUUCGGUACACAGCCAUUGAGACAUUUGUG